CAAGUUCGACCUCAAAUCAGACAAGAGUACCCGCUGAACUUAAGCAUAUCAAUAAGCGGAGGAAAAGAAACCAACAGGGAUUGCCUCAGUAACGGCGAGUGAAGCGGCAAAAGCUCAAAUUUGAAAUCUGGUAGUUUUUAACUGCUCGAGUUGUAAUUUGAAGAGCUUAACCUUGGGCACAGGCUCUGUCUAUGUUUCUUGGAACAGGACGUCACAGAGGGUGAGAAUCCCGUGAGGUGGGGCUAUUGUGUUCUUGUAGGUUUUGUUCGACGAGUCGAGUUGUUUGGGAAUGCAGCUCUAAGUGGGUGGUAAAUUCCAUCUAAAGCUAAAUAUUGGCGAGAGACCGAUAGCGAACAAGUACAGUGAUGGAAAGAUGAAAAGAACUUUGAAAAGAGAGUGAAAAAGUACGUGAAAUUGUUGAAAGGGAAGGGCAUUAGAUGAGACUUGGUAAUUCAGGCACAUCCUCCUCUUGUAGGGGGUGCACUCCUGAUAUUACUGGGCCAGCAUCGAUUCGCGCGGUGGGAUAAUGCUUCUUGAAUGUGGCUACAUUUUUUGUGUAGUGUUAUAGCUUGGAGAGAUACUGCCAGUGUGGAUCGAGGCUUGCGUCUUUUUAGACUAGGAUGCUGGCGUAAUGAUCUAAUGUCGCCCGUCUUGAAACACGGACCAAGGAGUCUAACGUCUAUGCGAGUGUUUGGGUGUAAAA
rnacentral:rRNA from 1 species